rnacentral:rRNA from 1 species
CCUACGGGAGGCAGCAGUGGGGGAUAUUGCACAAUGGGGGAAACCCUGAUGCAGCGACGCCGCGUGAGUGAAGACGUAUUUCGGUAUGUAAAGCUCUAUCAGCAGUGAAGAAAAUGACAGUACCUGACCAAGAAGCCCCGGCUAACUACGGGCCAGCAGCCGCCGUAAUACGGAGGGGGCAAGGGUUAUCCGGAUUUACUGGGUGUAAAGGGGGAGUAGACGGUUAUGUAAGUUUGGAGUGAAAACCAGGGGCCUAACCGAGGGACUGGCGUGGAAACUGGGUUACUUGAGUACAGUAGGGGUAGGCGGAAUUCCUGGUGUAGCGGUGAAAUGCGUAGAUAUCAGGAGGAACACCGGCGGCGAAGGCGGCCUGCUGGACUGAAACUGACGUUGAGGCUCGAAAGCGUGGGGAGCAAACAGGAUUAGAUACCCCAGUAGUC